rnacentral:lncRNA from 1 species
CCGGGUGCAUCUCAUACAUGCACCAAAGAAGACAACAUAUAUAAUAAUAGAGUGUAUAGAGAUAAAUGUCACAAUAAUGAGAGUAUUUAUUACAUAGCGGAAGUCUUACAAAAUAAAAGAUAAACAUAAAAUAAUCUAAAAUCCAUCCUUGGCGCCAGAAAGUCAACUGGAAGACGCCACCUAGAUCGAAUCGAACUCCUUGUUGCGUGGCUCCUCUUGAACCACUUGUUCUUCUCCUGUGGGGGGUGUGAGACAGCAAGGGUGAGCUCACACAUGUUCAUCGCUCAACAAGUUGUGGGGAAUAAUGUGGCAUGAACUCACCAAAGGUGGGAGUUCAUGUGAUAUGUAAGGCUAAUCAACAAUAGGGGUUAAAGCUGAGCUUUGCUUUUAAUUAGUUGGUCAAAAUUUUAUUAGCAAUUACUAAAUGUAAGUAAAUACCAAACCAUAAUAAAUAAUAAUAGAACAAAAUUAAUAAUAAACCCCAUGCAAUGCAUAUGACAAAUUUAGUUUAAGUUUCAUAAUUUUGUGACUGAGCUGCUCAUGACCGUAAGCUCGGCUAGUAUACCAGUUUUACACUCUGCAAAGGUUGUACCCUGUACACACAAGUCGUGUCUCCCAUGUCGCCAGGGUUUGCAAGGCCCUUAGACACUACCGAGGUGAAUGGCUAGGGAUCCACUAUGAUGCCUCUACAAAAUUCCACUAGCUUCCGAAAACCCGCUACAGUUUAUGGGAUGAGCACUUGCAAGAAUCCCCCGUGUGGCCGCCAUCACAGCAAAAUCAACCCGAGAACCUCCUUGCAUGCAACUCCCCUAUUUCCCUUGCCCCUUUCGGGUAAGGUAGUCUUCCACUAGCUUUCCUAGUUAGUUAGCCAAGGGCGUCCCAUUAAACCCUUGUGGUGGCACAUGUUUCUCAAGUUAAGCUCCACGUUCCAAUUAACAUUAAUGAUCUUGACAUGAACAUAAAUAAAAUAACAAAAUAAUUGGAACAUGGAUAUAAUGAAAUAUUAACCCAAAACCAUAUAAAGCAAUAGCAGAACUACCUAAGUGAAUCAGGGGUAAACAAGGUAAACAGGAUAAACAGACUAGGGUGACCUAUUGGGUCCCAUCAAAAUUAAACCUAUGCAUUGAAUAGUGAUAAUAAAGAAUAUUAUUGGGUAACAAAAGUGAUCAAGGGCACAACUUGCCUGGCACUUGAGAUUCCAGUUACCAGGGUGAUUCUUCAGAUCCUCGAAACCUCGCGCUAGUCGUAGCAAUACAAACAAACAUGGUAUAGACAAAAUUAACAUCAUACCAAACAUAAGAACAUACUGCAUAAUAAUGAUUUACGCGUUGUUACAAGAUCGUGGGAACGAGAACCACUAAGAUCGAAGUUACGAGUAGGGAGUUAUUAUUUUAUAGAAGAUCUAUGUGAAAAAUAACAAAAUAAGUUAUAAAUUGGUUAGGACAUCCCAUCUGGGAGAAUGUUCUAUAAAUAAUUAUCUCAACAUUAAUCCAAGUUACAAAUUGACCACAUAUCUUAUUCUAGUAGGUUAUAAUGGUAAGCAAUUUAACAAGACUAACCAACACACGUUAAAUAAAGAUCUAAUUAUAAAAGAAUAUGACAUGGCCUAAUAAAUGUUGUUAUUGCAUAGUAUAUAUUUAUACGAGACUAACGCAACUUGAACGGAUCAAAUCGGGGUUAUAGAUUUUAAGUAAUGAAUUUCUAAGGAUUUUAUGUGUUUUGUACAAAAUUAAAUAGGAUAUAAAUUUUAAUGUGAUUUUCAUGUCAAAACAGAGACACUAGGUGAGAAAUAAUAAUAUUACAAAAUUAUAGAAACUAAAAUGGAUUAAUUUGGACCUAGUAUGAAUUUUCUAGGAAUUAAAUAAGUUUCUGCAAUUAUUUAUAUAUUCACAAAUCAAUUUAUAAAUAGUUUUCUCUGAUUUACCUAGUCCUUGGGCUGCGCCUCAAAUACCCGAGAAGACAGGGGCUAAUCUAUAAACAUUCCUGAGACUCAUACGCCAACAACCAGUACUGCGGGUUGAUACCUAGAUACUUCGGGGGCUCUUUUACAACAUGUGCAAUCCGAAGGGGUAUCCUCAAAUCUGGCCCGUCCGAUCCGAGAUGGACGGAUCCGAUUAGACUUCUACUCAAAACAAACUAGUAUCUCACAGGCGCCCUCAGAUCUAAAUCCAACGGCCCAUGUUUGAUCUCACGAAGGGGUAAGCCUAAUUCUAAUAUCCACCGCUCACUCACAAUCUGACGGCGCGCCUAUGUUCUUCCACCACGCGAUGACCAGAGAAGGCGGAGUAGAGGCCCGCGGCGGCGCAUUGUCGACAUGGAGCGCACCCAGCGCUCUGAUGGACUACUGCUACCCCAGCUACGCAACAAGGGAUGCGGAGAACAUGGCAGAUAGGUUUGUAAGUCCCUUACUCGAAUCUGCACGCCGGUGAUGAACUCCAAGCGACCCAGCCAUGCACUAGGCGGAUCAGGCGUUGACUGCAGGCGCCAGUGGAGGAACCGCGCCCGCGCGCACGUGGUGGAGGGGAACGAGGCGGGAGAACGCUACAGCGGCAGGGGUGUGGCUGGCGCUGUUCGCCGUCGCGCGACGCAAAGCUAGCAGCGGUGUUCCUGCCCUUCGCCGCCUGACCCUGCAAGCAGCGGCCUAUAUGCACGAACUCCGCCCCGUGGCCCUGCCCGCGUGAACCACCACUCUGCUGUCCGCACCGGCCACUGCGCACCUUCUCCCUUCCUCUCUCUCUCCACCUCGGUUGCGCUGGCUCGGUAAAAGGGAAAUUGUGGCUGGUCGAUCAAGCCACCCAGGGAAGAACGGGCUUAUAACCACCAGGGAACGGUGUUGCCCACAUAUACGGACGCGAGGGAGACCAGGGGAAAGGGCGGUAGAGUCAAGCCCUGCCUGGUAUCGCGCAGGUCCGUUGGGGACGCG